AACAAACGCUGGCGGCGUGCCUAAUACAUGCAAGUCGAACGGGUAGCAAUACCAGUGGCGCACGGGUGAGGAAUACAUAGAUAAUCUGCCCUCGAGUCGGGGAUAACCAGUCGAAAGAUUGGCUAAUACCGGAUAAGACCACAGGAGCUGAGGCUCUAGGGGUUAAAGGUUUUUCGCUUGAAGAUGAGUCUAUGCGAGAUUAGCUAGUUGGUGAGGUAAUGGCUCACCAAGGCGACGAUCUCUAACUGGUCUUAGAGGAUGAUCAGUCACACUGGAACUGAGACACGAUCCAGACUCCUACGGGAGGCAGCAGUAGGGAAUAUUGCGCAAUGGGGGAAACCCUGACGCAGCGACGCCGCGUGAGUGAUGAAGGCCUUCGGGUCGUAAAGCUCUGUCGUAUGGGAAUAACACAAUGAAUGUACCAUGCAAGAAAGGAUCGGCUAACUUCGUGCCAGCAGCCGCCGCCG
rnacentral:rRNA from 1 species